GUUGCCAUUUCCUUCUGCAGGGGGUCUUCUGAUUCAGAAGUCGAAUCCAAAUCUGCAUUACAGGCAGAUUUUUUUUUAAACCGCUGGAGCCACCAGGUUUUGCAGCCGAGUGGUCUGAAGUCUCACCUUGCUGUGUUCUGCUGCUCUGAAGCGGCGCGCUGCGGAACUCAGGAAAGUCAAACAGGACGGGAGUUGGAGAAGCCGACUGAGAGUGAAGCGGAAGGGGCACUGAGAAGAGGCGGCGUCUGGACCUCGGCCUCAGUGCCACAGAGCGCACCUCUGCCCGAAGCCCCGGCUCUUAGGAGACGCGGGGAGGACCCAGAACUUAAUUCUGUAACACCACGUCAGGCUGAUCAGAAAAUGUCACUGACACUUAAUGGAGAAAAAGAGAACAAAUGCAAUUUUGUGACAUCAAAACAUGAGUAUGUCUAGCAAAAAUGGCAAAUGGAGUUCUUGAAGGGCAUAUGAGAUGUUAGUUCCCUGAACUCAUACCCCCUGCAGUGUAAGUUUGGAGUCUUAACUCCUGGACCAGCAGGGAAGUCUCUUGCACCUCUUUUUGUGACAGUGGAAUUUUGAAAAUUUUCAUUAUCUAAAUAAAAUUAAAUGUGACUUAAAAAAAAAAAAAGAAUCAUCUGAAGUGGGAAGAAUCAUCUGAAGUCAGCUGUGAGCUGACUUGCACCCCUAUGCCAAAGUCCUAUUUCAACCUAACCCCCACUGUGACUAGUUAGGGUUUUCAGGAGUUAAUUAAGGUUAAAUGGGGUCAUAAGGUUGGGACCCUAAUCUGAUCUAACUUAAUGAGAAGAGGAAGAUCUAUCCCCUAACCCCUCUUAUGAACACACAGUGAGAAGGCUGCAAUCCACAAGGUGGAAAGAAAUCAAAUAGGCCAGCAUCUUGGUCUUAGAAGUCUAGGUUCCGGAAAUGUGAGAAAUAAGUAUUUGUUUAAACCACCCCAUUUAUGGUAUUUUGUUAUGGCAGGCCAAUCUAGUACAGGGCCUUCUGAUAACAUUUAUAUAGCACACACAUAUUUCCUAAAUAUAGGCCUAUUCCACAUUCCUUUCCCCUAAACUUCCUGGUACCAAUCCUAUAAUCAUGCUCUUUCCAAGUUUUUGACUUGGAAUCCAGCCAAAUCAUUAGCCAUUUUCAAAAUACUUCUCUUUCCUUGGGGCACAGUAACCCCAGACAGAAGGAAGGAGAAGAUUCACAGUCUAUAUUUGUAAUGUUGUCAAAUGUAUUUCCUCACAGAUACCCAGUCUCUUCUUCCCUUGAAGGGAUUUGUGAACUGAUUGUUGGGUGGCCAAGGCAUCAGUGAGGCUUGCACUGCAGAAGGGAUACAGAUGAAGAUGGAGAAAGAGAAAAAAGUGUAGGGACCAGGGAGAAGAAGGGAAGAUGGGAAUGAAGGGAGGGAGGAGAGAAAAACCUCUAAACAUAUGCUAAAGACCAUGGCUAUGUAUCCUAUGACCCAUAUAGGGAAACAUGACACAUUUCAGGCAAUUUGAGCAUCAAAUAAUUAAAGAUGAUGUUAUGGACUGAAUCAUGGCCUCCCUCCAGUUCAUAUGUUUAAGCCCUAACCCUCCUAUACCUUGUAAUGUGGCAGUAUUUGGAGCUACUGUCUUUAAAGAGGUAAUUAAGGUAAAAUGAUGUCAAUUCAAUAUGACUGGUGUCUUUAUAAGGUUAUUGGGACACAGAAACAAAUGGCAGGAAGACCAUGUGAAGGUACUGCCAUUGACCAGCCAAGGACACAGGCCUUCAAAAGAAACCAACCCUGCUGAUACCUUUAUUUCAGACUUCCAGCCUCAGAAAUGGGAGGAAAUAGAUUUCUGCUGUUUAAGGCACACAAUCUGGUACUUUGUUAAGACAGCCAUAGCAAAUUAACACAGAUGGUAACAUAGCUCACUGAAUAAAAAUAAAUGAGUAUUUAUUGCUAUAAAUAAAUGAAUAAUAAGUGGAGGGAAAGGGAAAGUGCUUCCUUAGAGUAGCAUAAUGAGAGAUUAGGAAAUUACAAAAAUCACCAUUUGAUAAUCAUAGUUAUAAUUGAUCCAAGCAAGACUGUUAAUACAUGCUAAAAGUAGCAGAUAAAAGUUUGAUGAGAUAAAUGAUACUUAGUGUUAGUUGUGUCCGACUCUUUGCGACCCCAUGAACUGCAGCACACCAGGCCUCUCUGUCCAUCACCAACUCCUGGAGUCCUCCCAAACCCAUGUCCAUCGAGUCCAUGAUGCCAUCCAAC